AGCCGAAGUCUGGUGAAAAUUAGAGGCGGAAAACACGUUGGUUCUACUUUAGGAAUGGCAAACAAGGGGAAAGCCUGCAGGCCUGGCAGAGCUGGCCUAGGAUUGGACAGGCCUGUUACCUUCUCCGGUGUGCAAACGGCCGCUCACGAAAUCGCACAUCUGUUGAACGCUCCUCACGACGGCGAUCCAGAAGCGAAGGAGUGCCCAUCAGAAGACGGAUAUUUGAUGAGUAGCCCACGAAGAAGCGGAAAUAACAGCUGUGCGUUUUCCUACUGCACAAAGAAGAUUAUUGCCGACUUUCUAACGUGGCCUUACUCAAAGUGCCUAUUGAAGAAUGCAUUAUGCCAUGUUAUUUCCCUGCCAAACAAGGCGGCAAAUCUACCAGGGGAUGCUAUGGAUGGACCCACGUUCUGCAAGGAAUACUACCGAAAACCGAGAUACGCGAACUCUACUUACCUAAAGCUGGAUUCCGACCUCAAAGAGUGCGUAUUCCGCUGUUUGGUAGAAUACACUAAUCCUAAAGGGAAGAUGGAGAAUCGCACAUCAUUUGCUAUGGAUGGAACGCCCUGCUCUGAAUCUGA